rnacentral:misc_RNA from 1 species
UUAGUUUAUUUAACUAUUUUCAGAUUGAACAUGGUUAAAAAGAAUUUGUUGUGGGCUACUGACGGGCACUGGCCAGAGGUCGAAGACCCCCGACGGUCCGGUCAAGGACGGGCCCGCCAAAGCAACAUGGUAGUUAUACAGAGGGUUGGAGAUCGGGCCUGGAAGACCCUAACUCAUUAAUGAUCCUUCCGCAGGUUCACCUACGGAAA